CCACCGAAGUUAAACAAGGUCGAGCUUUGUCAGUACUUAGAUGGGUGACCGCCUAGGAAUACCAGGUGCUGUAA